rnacentral:ncRNA from 1 species
AUUGCGCGGAAAGUAAUUGGCGAAGGUGAAGCCGCGGCAUUGAUCGAUGGCGUGAAACAGAGGGUUCCAGUCGAACAUCUUGAGCAUGAAGGGCGGCAGCGAAUUGGCCACGAACAUCUUGCCCGACGCGAUCAUGUUGGCGCGCUG